rnacentral:lncRNA from 1 species
GCCUAUUGGACUCUCAGGAGAAAAGUGAAGAGUAUUAAAACAGUGCCUGCAGGGGGUGACAAAUUAGCAGAAUCAAAUACUGUAAAUUGUUUAAAAGACCCUGUGGCAGAGUCACUUAAUAAAAGGGCAAAGAAUGAUUGUACAGCACCUCAUCAUUUGCAAGAGGGAGAUUUUUUUGACAUAGUUUCCUUCAAGAAAGGAGAUUUUAUUCAGAAUUGGCAUCCAAGAGACAAUACAUCUUAUGAUACAAUUAUUUGGUAAGUUUUCUUUUUCUUUAACGUCAUCUUCCCCGUAUGGUUCAAGUGGUGUGAAAUCUUUUAGUCAAUUGCAAUCCUUCUGCGAAAAGGUACCCAAGAUGUUAUAUUGUUAGAACUUGUGUUUCCUUUUCAAAAUCACCCAAAAUUUUAUUCUAAAGGUGCACUUCUUUUGGCGGCAGAGGCAAAUUGUGUAAGCAGAACGAGAUGAUAAAAGAACAGUGCAAAAGCUUAAAGAGUUUAUUAGCCAGAGAACAUUUUUUGUUUCGUUUCCUUGACAUCCAACUUUGACCAGUCCUAAGUGAGUAUGAUUUGGGUGGAUUCUGUCUUCCUUGUUUUCGUUUAGCUCCACUCCUAUCUGUGACACCACAAAGACAUGGUUAAAAGAGGGGGGAACAAAGAAACUUUUAUGGACUCUCAUGCUUAUGAAUAUCAUUUUUAUUUUGAGAAAGGUAAUAUUUGUAUUCAUCAGCAUUCAAAAUAGGGCUGCUCUAUAAUAUUUACUAGUACAGAACCUCUGUGAGAUUCACAGCGAGUCAAAAAAGCCUAGUACUGAUUCUGCAUCACCUACCAAUUCUUCUUUAAACUAAAAAUGAAAAAGAGGAAUGCAUGAAUCUUGAUUUUCUCUGUUGAAGUACUCUUGCCUUCAAAACAUUUUGCAUUCAUCUCUUUCCAAACUGCCCACCAUAUGCAAACUGGAGCAAUCCUUAUGACAGGUUCUUCCCCUAAUACUGUUCCAACUGCAUAUCAAGCCAACAGCCUCCUUGGGCAUCAUCCAAACAAUACUAGCUAGUGUUAUAAAGAGCUGACAAAGUUGUCUAGUAAUAACACUAUUCAUGAAUAGAUUGUCAUUGGUAUCAGUUUCCUGGUGACUUAGAAAGCAUGUAAAGCUGGUCUGAAUACCUCCCAAAGUUGACUAGUAAUAACACAAUUCAAGAAUAGAUGGUCAUUGACAUCAGUUUCCUGGUGACUUAGAAAGCAUGUAAAACUGGUCUGAAUACCUUGGAGAAUCCAAAGUGAGGCAGGCUCCUUUAUCAGUACAAGUGUCGUGUAGAUACAAGUGUGGGGGCUAAAAUGAAGAGUCUGCUCAACAUAAGUAAUAAGUGAUUCUAACUGAGUUAUCUGCCAUUAUGUUCCAGUAGUGUUUAGUGUAUGACAAUUUUGAGAUCAACUGCAAUAGUCUUCUAAAUUUUAUUGUGGGAUCUUUCUUUUUCUCUUUUCUUUCUUGGGGAAUGGGAAACUUGGCCAGAGUGUUGGGGCUGGGUGCAGGCCUCUCAAUCUUUGGCUUUUCUAAAGAUUGAUCACACCACUUGAAUCGCUCUCUGAGGGUUUCUUACAGAGAAGAUUAGACCCAGCUUUCUGCUUUUCAGUAUAGCAUAUGAUUAUAUCAUAUGAUCUAAAGCAAGAGAAUGUAUAGUAUGUUUUUUGGUAUUGGGUGCUGAAAUUUUAUUCUAUUUCCAUGUAUGUGAGCUUGAAGAGCUGAUUUCAUUGGAUGCAGCUUAAGCGUGUCAAAGUGGGUGCAUUUAAACUGGGGAGAUGAGGGAGUAAUAACUUUGUUUUCCAAAGUCUGGAGGCUCCUUUCACCGGUAAUGUUCACGUGUAAUAGGAAGCAGUUCCUUGGAAAUAGAAAGAAACUCAUGUUUUAACUGUGUACUUUUUUGAUAGCAGGGUGGUGUCUUUAUUUUGGAGCCUCAGCCUUGGAAAUCAUACUACGAUAAUCGUCUUGUAUCUGAGGUAUAUCCUUUCAUAUAUUACUAGCUUCACAUGCGUGCUUUCUAUACGGAGAAGACAUUAUAUUGGGAUUUCUUUUUUACUUUGCGUACCAAAAUUGAAAAUGUUAAUAAUGACUUAUAUUGGGUUUUCUUUUUUACUUUGCGUACCAAAAUUGAAAAUGUUAAUAAUGAUCUUGCUAUGCAGACAACAAGAAUUAAUUAUCAAAAUAUUAAGAUCCGUCCAGAAGAUUUUCAAAGAGUAUUAAAACAGUGCCUGCAGGGGGUGACAAAUUAGCAGAAUCAAAUACUGUAAAUUGUUUAAAAGACCCUGUGGCAGAGUCACUUAAUAAAAGGGCAAAGAAUGAUUGUACAGCACCUCAUCAUUUGCAAGAGGGAGAUUUUUUUGACAUAGUUUCCUUCAAGAAAGGAGAUUUUAUUCAGAAUUGGCAUCCAAGAGACAAUACAUCUUAUGAUACAAUUAUUUGGUAAGUUUUCUUUUUCUUUAACGUCAUCUUCCCCGUAUGAUUGGACAAGGUAUGUUUCAGAGAAUUCUAUAAUCCCCUCCCUCCCUUUCCUCCAUUUUCUUUUAAAAAAAAAACUUGAAAGUUAAAUAUUUCAUGACUCUGGGUAGGUUUCACUGACACAUCCCUUUAAUCUGAAUGCAGAUUGGAUUUAGAAUGGUAGAGGACAUAAC